UACGGAGGGGGCUAGCGUUGUUCGGAAUUACUGGGCGUAAAGAGCGCGUAGGCGGUUUGUAAAGUUGGAAGUGAAAUCCCGAGGCUUAACCUCGGAACUGCUUUCAAAACUCACAGACUAGAGGAUGAUAGAGGAUGGCGGAAUUCCUAGUGUAGAGGUGAAAUUCUUAGAUAUUAGGAGGAACACCAGUGGCGAAGGCGGCCAUCUGGGUCAUUACUGACGCUGAGGUGCGAAAGCGUGGGGAGCAAACAGG
rnacentral:rRNA from 1 species